rnacentral:misc_RNA from 1 species
GGAAGUAAAAGUCAACAGGGUUUCCGUAGGUGAACCUGCGGAAGGAUCAUUAAAGAGAUCAUGCCCUCACGGGUAGACCUCCCACCCUUUGUUUACAAUACCUUUGUUGCUUUGGCGGGCCCGUUUGGCCCCGCGCUGAACAACCGGCCCCGGCUGGUCAGUGCCCGCCAGAGAACCGAAAACUCUGAAUAAAAUGUCGUCUGAGUACUAUGUAAUAGUUAAAACUUUCAACAACGGAUCUCUUGGUUCUG